rnacentral:rRNA from 1 species
CUGCUAUACAUGCAGUCGAACGAGUUCUCGUUGAUGAUCGGUGCUUGCACCGAGAUUCAACAUGGAACGAGUGGCGGACGGGUGAGUAACACGUGGGUAACCUGCCCUUAAGUGGGGGAUAACAUUUGGAAACAGAUGCUAAUACCGCAUAGAUCCAAGAACCGCAUGGUUCUUGGCUGAAAGAUGGCGUAAGCUAUCGCUUUUGGAUGGACCCGCGGCGUAUUAGCUAGUUGGUGAGGUAAUGGCUCACCAAGGCGAUGAUACGUAGCCGAACUGAGAGGUUGAUCGGCCACAUUGGGACUGAGACACGGCCCAAACUACUACGGGAGGCAGCAGUAGGGAAUCUUCCACAAUGGACGCAAGUCUGAUGGAGCAACGCCGCGUGAGUGAAGAAGGCUUUCGGGUCGUAAAACUCUGUUGUUGGAGAAGAAUGGUCGGCAGAGUAACUGUUGUCGGCGUGACGGUAUCCAACCAGAAAGCCACGGCUAACUACGUGCCAGCAGCCGCGGUAAUACGUAGGUGGCAAGCGUUAUCCGGAUUUAUUGGGCGUAAAGCGAGCGCAGGCGGUUUUUUAAGUCUGAUGUGAAAGCCCUCGGCUUAACCGAGGAAGCGCAUCGGAAACUGGGAAACUUGAGUGCAGAAGAGGACAGUGGAACUCCAUGUGUAGCGGUGAAAUGCGUAGAUAUAUGGAAGAACACCAGUGGCGAAGGCGGCUGUCUGGUCUGUAACUGACGCUGAGGCUCGAAAGCAUGGGUAGCGAACAGGAUUAGAUACCCUGGUAGUCCAUGCCGUAAACGAUGAAUGCUAGGUGUUGGAGGGUUUCCGCCCUUCAGUGCCGCAGCUAACGCAUUAAGCAUUCCGCCUGGGGAGUACGACCGCAAGGUUGAAACUCAAAGGAAUUGACGGGGGCCCGCACAAGCGGUGGAGCAUGUGGUUUAAUUCGAAGCAACGCGAAGAACCUUACCAGGUCUUGACAUCUUUUGAUCACCUGAGAGAUCAGGUUUCCCCUUCGGGGGCAAAAUGACAGGUGGUGCAUGGUUGUCGUCAGCUCGUGUCGUGAGAUGUUGGGUUAAGUCCCGCAACGAGCGCAACCCUUAUGACUAGUUGCCAGCAUUUAGUUGGGCACUCUAGUAAGACUGCCGGUGACAAACCGGAGGAAGGUGGGGAUGACGUCAAAUCAUCAUGCCCCUUAUGACCUGGGCUACACACGUGCUACAAUGGAUGGUACAACGAGUUGCGAGACCGCGAGGUCAAGCUAAUCUCUUAAAGCCAUUCUCAGUUCGGACUGUAGGCUGCAACUCGCCUACACGAAGUCGGAAUCGCUAGUAAUCGCGGAUCAGCACGCCGCGGUGAAUACGUUCCCGGGCCUUGUACACACCGCCCGUCACACCAUGAGAGUUUGUAACACCCGAAGCCGGUGGCGUAACCCUUUUAGGGAGCGAGCCGUCUAAGUGGACAAAUU